GAUGAAGAACGUAGCGAAAUGCGAUAAGUAAUGUGAAUUGCAGAAUUCAGUGAAUCAUCGAAUCUUUGAACGCACAUUGCGCCCGCCAGUAUUCUGGCGGGCAUGCCUGUUCGAGCGUCAUUUCAACCAUCAAGCCCCAGGCUUGUGUUGGGGACCUGCGGCUGCCGCAGGCCCUGAAAACCAGUGGCGGGCUCGCUGUCACACCGGGCGUAGUAGAUUUUAUCUCGCUCAGGGCGUGCUGCGGGUUCCGGCCGUUAAAAAGCCUUUUUUACCCAAGGUUGACCUCGGAUCAGGUAGGAAGACCCGCUGAACUUAAGCAUAUCAAUAAGCGGAGGGA
rnacentral:misc_RNA from 1 species